UUCAAAGGGAGAGAGAUACAGAAUCUUCAAAAGGUUUAACUUGAAAAGUAAUUUUUCUUUUUUCUGUGUUUACAAGGGUGACUGCAUGUUCUAAAUGAGAGGCAUGGUUUUGCUUGUUAUUGCAAAAUUUGUUUCGUGAGAUAUUGUUGUCCGAUCUUGAUACCGGGAGAUAUCAAUGUUGGUUGCAAAGCUCUUUUCAAUAAAAUUAAGCAAAUCAGCGUUGCUGCUUUGUUGCUUAAGCUGACAGCAACCAUCUAUGAUUGUUGGAUAUCUUACCUUGAUGUUGUAUGUGUAUUUUAAAUUGCUAUUGUCUGACAUAUAUGUUCAUUUGUUGUAAUAUCAGACUGAAAUUGCUAUUGUCUGACAUAUAUGUUCAUUUAUUCUCACCCCUAACAUCUAGUUUUAC
rnacentral:lncRNA from 1 species